rnacentral:misc_RNA from 1 species
CAUAUGGUAAACAAUAAAGG